rnacentral:rRNA from 1 species
ACUCAAAUGAAUAGACGGGGACCCGCACAAGCAGCGGAGCAUGUGGUUUAAUUCGAAGCAACGCGAAGAACCUUACCAAGACUUGACAUUUCGUGACAGGUAUGGAAACAUAUCCUCCCUUCGGGGCACGAGGACAGGUGGUGCAUGGUUGUCGUCAGCUCGUGUCGUGAGAUGUUCGGUUAAGUCCGGCAACGAGCGCAACCCUUAUGAUAUGUUGCCAAUAUUAAGUUAGGAACUCAUAUCAGACUGCCGUGGAUAACACGGAGGAAGGUGGGGAUGACGUCAAAUCAUCAUGCCCCUUACGUCUUGGGCUACACACGUGCUACAAUGGGCGCUACAAAGAGCAGCAAAACCGUGAGGUCAAGCGAAUCUCAAAAAAACGCUCUCAGUUCGGAUUGAAGGCUGAAACCCGCCUUCAUGAAGUCGGAGUUGCUAGUAAUCCCAAAUCAGAAUGUUGGGGUGAAUGCGUUCCCGGGUCUUGUACACACCGCCCGU